CAAGAGCAGAGCGCGGACUGAGCCCGGCGCUGUGGGAGCAUCCCGGGCAGCCGCCUUGUUGUGCCGGUCCCUCUGCCCGGGCGGGGCGGCCGCACCGCUGCUGCGGGAAAUCUCCCAGCUCCUCGCCGGAGCACCCCCGCUCGUCCUUCUCUAGCAGCCCUGGCGUCUCAUGCACGGCUAGGCAGAGACUGCACCGGAGUCCGAUCUCCCACCUGGGAAAUGGAGACCAGAGAAUUCAGUCUUUGUACUAUGGAAGUGUUGCCGUAUACAAUACAGGAUGGGGUACAACUGCCAGAUGAGUGGAAGGAACUGGUUCAGCAAAGGGCUUGCCAGGAGGACCAACUGUCUCCAGAUGACCCUCCUCCCCCAAAUCCUAAGAGGAAAGAAAAAGGAAGGAAACCGUCAGGGCAUAUGUAAUACAGCAGUGAUUCUCAAACUUUUGUACUGGUGACCCCUUUCACAUAGCAAACCCCUGAG